UACCCUUGACAUGCUAGGAACUUGCCAGAGAUGGCUUGGUGCCCGAAAGGGAACCUAGACACAGGUGCUGCAUGGCUGUCGUCAGCUCGUGUCGUGAGAUGUUGGGUUAAGUCCCGCAACGAGCGCAACCCUUGUCAUUAAUUGCCAUCAUUCAGUUGGGCACUUUAAUGAGACUGCCGGUGACAAACCGGAGGAAGGUGGGGAUGACGUCAAGUCCUCAUGGCCCUUAUGGGUAGGGCUUCACACGUAAUACAAUGGUCGGUACAGAGGGUUGCCAACCCGCGAGGGGGAGCCAAUCCCAGAAAACCGAUCGUAGUCCGGAUUGUAGUCUGCAACUCGACUGCAUGAAGUCGGAAUCGCUAGUAAUCGCGGAUCAGCAUGUCGCGGUGAAUACGUUCCCGGGCCUU
rnacentral:rRNA from 1 species